rnacentral:rRNA from 1 species
AAAUUGAAGAGUUUGAUCAUGGCUCAGAUUGAACGCUGGCGGCAGGCCUAACACAUGCAAGUCGAACGGUAACAGAAAGCAGCUUGCUGCUUUGCUGACGAGUGGCGGACGGGUGAGUAAUGUCUGGGAAACUGCCUGAUGGAGGGGGAUAACUACUGGAAACGGUAGCUAAUACCGCAUAACGUCGCAAGA